UACGUAGGGGGCGAGCGUUGUCCGGAUUUAUUGGGCGUAAAGAGCGUGUAGGCGGCCAGGUAGGUCCGUUGUGAAAACUCGAGGCUCAACCUCGAGACGCCGGUGGAAACCGUAAGGCUAGAGUCCGGAAGAGGAGAGUGGAAUUCCUGGUGUAGCGGUGAAAUGCGCAGAUAUCAGGAGGAACACCCGUGGCGAAAGCGGCUCUCUGGGACGGUACUGACGCUGAGACGCGAAAGCGUGGGGAGCAAACAGG
rnacentral:rRNA from 1 species